rnacentral:rRNA from 1 species
AUUGAACGCUGGCGGAAUGCUUUACACAUGCUAGUCGAACGGCAGCACGGGGGCAACCCUGGUGGCGAGUGGCGAACGGGUGAGUAAUAUAUCGGAACGUGCCCAGUCGUGGGGGAUAACGUAGCGAAAGUUACGCUAAUACCGCAUACGAUCUACGGAUGAAAGCGGGGGAUCGCAAGACCUCGCGCGAUUGGAGCGGCCGAUAUCAGAUUAGGUAGUUGGUGAGGUAAAGGCUCACCAAGCCAACGAUCUGUAGCUGGUCUGAGAGGACGACCAGCCACACUGGGACUGAGACACGGCCCAGACUCCUACGGGAGGCAGCAGUGGGGAAUGUUGGACAAUGGGCGCAAGCCUGAUCCAGCCAUUCCGCGUGCAGGACGAAGGCCUUCGGGUUGUAAACUGCUUUUGUACGGAACGAAAAAGCCUUGGCUAAUACCCAGGGUCCAUGACGGUACCGUAAGAAUAAGCACCGGCUAACUACGUGCCAGCAGCCGCAGUAA